UACCUCGCAGACCGGCGCAUUUCAGAGUCAGCGACUAGCGGAUACCCAUGGGCUCCGGGCUAUUGUACCACCGAGAGGUGUAAACCCAACUGGAGUUUGCUGAAGGCAAGCUUCCAAGGGAGAGCCAUGGUAACCUGCCCCUGCCUUCUACCUCGUCUCUGUGUGUGGCAUCCUGGAGCCAUGUUUCCACCAACGUCUUGACUGUGGCAGAUCUGAGAAACUCUACAUUAUACACAAAUGUUCUCUGGCCCCAGAGAUUAUCGCAGUACAUUGGGUGAGGGUAAGGGGUGAUGAUUCAGGAAGCCAGAAGGCUUGUGGCAGAAUGUCUUCAUUUUGCUGGAACAUCAUGAAAAACUACCUGAUCAGAGUGUCCAUAUGUAAAGAGUUGUAGCAAGUAUACAUGUGUGAGGAGGAAGUAAUUCUCUUUCAAAAAAUCAAGGAAAGGGAGGCAGGAAAAUGAAGUAAUUAGGAGUGUAAAUAGAGAUUAAGCUACAUUUAUACUUUAGUGUUCUCAUUUCAUACUUGUGUGACUUUGGGCAAGGUACUUACCCCUCUCAUUCUUGGUUAUCUCAUAUGUAAAAUGGUGAUAAUAUUGUCAUUUAGGAUUUCAGAGAAAAUGAAACAAGACAGUGUAUCUAAAGUGCUUAGAUGGUUCCUGACUCCAAAAAGUUUUGGUUUUUAUUAAGAUACUGCAAGCCUGCCUUUGACCACUGAUUACUUCUGCCUGAGUUGGAGAGAAGUCAUGUUUGUAUAAUAUGUGAUACUGCAUAUAUGAACACAGAAUUUCUUAUUAGUCCCAGGAAAUAUAUUUUGGUAGUUAGAUAUUUAAAAAAAAAUUAGAAUUAUUUCUGGGCUAUCCUUUAAGAUAAUAUUUCAAAAGUUACGUACAUUUCAUACUUUAUUUUCUAUUGUCAUUUCAAUUAUUGUUCAAUUGUCUCUCAAACAAGAUUUUUAAAAAUAUACUACCAGUUCAUUAAUUGAAAUAUUUUCUUGAAUAGAGUGUAAAUGAAUAAAUAUAAUUAUUCAAA
rnacentral:lncRNA from 10 species